ensembl:lncRNA
GGCUGUGCUGGGUCUUCGUGGCUGCGCACAGGCUGUGUCUAGUUUUGGCGGGUCGGAGCUGCUGCUUGUUGCAGUAUGGGGCUUCUCAUUGUGGAGCACAGGCUCUCAGGUGUUCAAGCUUAAGUAGUUGUGGUUCACAGGCUCUGGAGCAUGGGGUCAGUAGUUGUGGCCCACGGGCUUAGUUUCUCCAUGGCAUGUGGGAUCCUCCUGGUCCAAGGAUCAAACCUGUGUCCCCUGCAUUGGCAGGCAGAUUCUUAUCCAUUGUACCACCAGGGAAGACCCUGAGUGUUUCUUUAAGAAGGUCAUUAAAAUGCUCCGUGAGACCAGCUGCCUGCAGGCCUAACGUGAAUGGAAGAUCCAAAGAGUGUUAGAUUGCAGAGGCCACUGUGGAAUCUCCUGAGAGGUCUCCUGGUCAGAGUCUGUGAUGUCUGUCCAUCCAAAGCGAACAGGCAUAAAGAAGAAAGAGAGAACCUAUUUAGAAGAGGAGUUCUGGUUGGGGGUUGCCAAAAGGAGGCUCUGAAAGAUGCCUGGGAUGUAUAGAUUGAAGCAAGCAUGCAGUAUUGUACUACUUCUGGGAAAUAUUUAUAUGCAAGCAAAAAAGUAUGGAAAAACAAAGAGCAAGAUAUUAACUACUUUUCUCUGGAUGGUAGUUCAAUGGUUAACAAUUCAACUUUGCCUUCUGAUUUUUCUACUUUUUCAACAGUUUUUAAAAGGAGAGAAAAAGAAGACUAAAGGAUGAUAAGUACCGAAAGAAAGACCAUCAGACAAAUUUUCAAGUCACUUAAAAUUGAUGACAAUUUUUGAUUCUAUCAGUUACUGACUUUACCUUCCUUUUGUUUCCCCCCUAAACCUAGCAGAACUGAAUUUAAUUUUUUCCUGGCAAAAGAAUGCAAUUUUAACUGAACUUUCUUUUGCACCUUGAUGAGUAAUGUCAAAAUCCAUUUUCUGUUUGAAUUGAAUUGUUCUAAAAUAUUUACUGGAAAUAGGUUUUAAACAUAUCCACCCCUUUUUUCUAUACUAACAAGAUAUUCGCAUGACUCUUCUGUUG